AUCUGGAGGGCUCGUAUCCUUCCUAAGAUUAAGAUUUUCCUCUGGCAAGCUUCUCGUGGGCGGUUGCCGGCUAGUGAUCAGAUCCGCAAACGUAAUGGCCCUGGGUCUGACCGCUGCGCCCUCUGUGGGCUAAGAGAAGACACGACGCAUAUUUUCUUUAAUUGUGUUCUGGCUAAACUAUUCUGGUGCUGUAUCAGAUCUUGGUUGCAUGUUUCCUGGAGACCGUCCUCCUUCUCAGACCUUCGACUCUUGGCCAACAACCUAGUUGGGGCCCAGAGGAGAUUGUUUUGGGUAGGCUUGGCAGCGAUGUGUUGGAUUCUUUGGAUGACAAGAAACAAAUUUACUAUUGAACAUGUUUUUCCGCUAAACCGGCUGAUUGCUUAUUUAAAACAUGCAUAUUCUUGCAGCAGUGGAGAUUAUUGA
rnacentral:rRNA from 1 species